GAUGAACGCUGGCGGCGUGCCUAAUACAUGCAAGUCGAACGAAGAUCUAGCUUGCUAGAUCUUAGUGGCGAACGGGUGAGUAAUACAUAAAUAAUCUGCCCAUAUGACUGGGAUAACUAUUGGAAACGAUAGCUAAUACCGGAUAAGUUGAUCGGAGGCAUCUCUGAUGAAUUAAAGUAGGAUUUCUACACAAAUGGAUGAGUUUAUGGCGCAUUAGUUAGUUGGUGGGGUAACGGCCUACCAAGACGAUGAUGCGUAGCCGACCUGAGAGGGUGACCGGCCACACUGGGACUGAGACACGGCCCAGACUCCUACGGGAGGCAGCAGUAGGGAAUUUUCGGCAAUGGGCGCAAGCCUGACCGAGCAACGCCGCGUGAGUGAUUAAGGCCUUCGGGUUGUAAAGCUCUGUUGUAAGGGAAGAACAUUCAGGAUAGGAAAUGAUCUUGAACUGACGGUACCUUACCAGAAAGCCACGGCUAACUACGUGCCAGCAGCCGCGGUAAAAC
rnacentral:rRNA from 1 species